AUGAACGCUGGCGGCGUGCCUAAUACAUGCAAGUCGAGCGAACGGACGAGAAGCUUGCUUCUCUGAUGUUAGCGGCGGACGGGUAAGUAACACGUGGCUAACCUACCUAUAAGACUGGGAUAACUUCGGGAAACCGGAGCUAAUACCGGAUAAUAUUUUGAACCGCAUGGUUCCAAAGUGAAAGACGGUCUUGCUGUCACUUAUAGAUGGAUCCGCGCUGCAUUAGCUAGUUGGUAAGGUAACGGCUUACCAAGGCAACGAUGCAUAGCCGACCUGAGAGGGUGAUCGGCCACACUGGAACUGAGACACGGUCCAGACUCCUACGGGAGGCAGCAGUAGGGAAUCUUCCGCAAUGGGCGAAAGCCUGACGGAGCAACGCCGCGUGAGUGAUGAAGGUCUUCGGAUCGUAAAACUCUGUUAUUAGGGAAGAACAUAUGUGUAAGUAACUGUGCACAUCUUGACGGUACCUAAUCAGAAAGCCACGGCUAACUACGUG
rnacentral:rRNA from 1 species